UCGGCGUGUAUACUGCACCUUGAGAAACAUAGUUUCCCACAAUAUUUACUAAAGGGAACUGUGAUGCUGCAAUCGUUCAGCCACCAUGGGAAUGAUGGGUAGUACAUGAAUUUGCAUAGUCUACGUGCUUGCGGCUUGGAACUCACUUGUG
rnacentral:lncRNA from 1 species